AACGAACGCUGGCGGCAUGCCUAACACAUGCAAGUCGAACGAGACCUUCGGGUCUAGUGGCGCACGGGUGCGUAACGCGUGGGAACCUGCCCUUAGGUUCGGAAUAACUCCCCGAAAGGGGUGCUAAUACCGGUUAAUGUCUUCGGACCAAAGAUUUAUCGCCUUUGGAUGGGCCCGCGUUGGAUUAGCUAGUUGGUAGGGUAAAAGCCUACCAAGGCGACGAUCCAUAGCUGGUCUGAGAGGAUGAUCAGCCACACUGGGACUGAGACACGGCCCAGACUCCUACGGGAGGCAGCAGUGGGGAAUAUUGGACAAUGGGCGAAAGCCUGAUCCAGCAAUGCCGCGUGAGUGAUGAAGGCCUUAGGGUUGUAAAGCUCUUUUACCCGGGAUGAUAAUGACAGUACCGGGAGAAUAAGCUCCGGCUAACUCCGU
rnacentral:rRNA from 1 species